rnacentral:rRNA from 1 species
CCGGGUAACGCAGCCAUGCCGCGUGAAUGAAGAAGGCCUUCGGGUUGUAAAGUUCUUUACGGUAUUGAGGAAGGAGUGUAUGUUAAUAGCAUACAUUAUUGACGUUAAAUACAGAAGAAGCACCGGCUAGCUCCGUGCCAGCAGCCGCGGUAAUACGGAGGGUGCGAGCGUUAAUCGGAAUAACUAGGGCGUAAAGGGCACGCAGGCGGUUAUUUAAGUGAGGUGUGAAAGCCCCGGGCUUAACCUGGGAAUUGCAUUUCAGACUGGGUAACUAGAGUACUUUAGGGAGGGGUAGAAUUCCACGUGUAGCGGUGAAAUGCGUAGAGAUGUGGAGGAAUACCGAAGGCGAAGGCAGCCCCUUGGGAAUGUACUGACGCUCAUGUGCGAAAGCGUGGGGAGCAAACAGGAUUAGAUACCCUGGUAGUCCACGCUGUAAACGCUGUCGAUUUGGGGAUUGGGCUUAAAGCUUGGUGCCCGUAGCUAACGUGAUAAAUCGACCGCCUGGGGAGUACGGCCGCAAGGUUAAAACUCAAAUGAAUUGACGGGGGCCCGCACAAGC